rnacentral:rRNA from 1 species
UUGGACCUGAAAUCAGGAAAGAAGACCCGCUGAAUUUAAGCAUAUAACUAAGCGGAGGAAAAGAAACUAACAAGGAUUCCCUCAGUAACGGCGAGUGAAGCGGGAAGAGCUCAACUUGAAAAUCUCUGCCUCUUGUAAGGCAGCGAAUUGUAGUCUAUAGAUGUGAUUACCAGUAAAUUGUAAGGCAUAAUUCAUGUGGAAUCAUGAACCAUGGAGGGUGAUAGUCCCGUACUAUGGCUUUAAUAAUUUACAUACGGUGCGCAUUCGACGAGUCGGAUAUCUUGAGACUGAUGUCCUAAUGGGUGGUAAAUUCCAUCCAAAGCUAAAUAAAGGCGAGAGACCGAUAGCGAACAAGUACUGUGAAGGAAAGAUGAAAAGAACUUUGAAAAGAGAGUUAAAAAGUACCUGAAAUUGUUGAAAGGAAAGUGUAUGAAACUAGUGUUGCUUACUUGUACCUGUACUUGUAGGCAGGUCAGCAUGGAUUGAUUUCGUAAGAGACGGUUUUAAUGAAGGUAUGUGGCUUCGGCCAUUGUUAUAGCAUUAAUUACUUGUUAUGGAGUCGAUUGAGGUUGCUUGGUACCUUAUUAGGUAUGCUUGCCAUGAUUUUUAUGUAAAUUUAUUGCAUGCAAUGUUUAUAUGUAAAAGUUGUGAUUCUUGUAUAUUUGAUUGUAUCAACGUGAUGCUGACGAAAUGGUUUCCUACAGCCCGUCUUGAAACACGGACCAA